AUUGAACGCUGGCGGCAGGCCUAACACAUGCAAGUCGAGCGGAUGAAGGGAGCUUGCUCCUGGAUUCAGCGGCGGACGGGUGAGUAAUGCCUAGGAAUCUGCCUGGUCGUGGGGGAUAACGUCCGGAAACGGGCGCUAAUACCGCAUACGUCCUGAGGUAGAAAGUGGGGGAUCUUCGGACCUCACGCUAUCAGAUGAACCUAGGUCGGAUUAGCUAGUUGGUGGGGUAAAGGCCUACCAAGGCGACGAUCCGUAACUGGUCUGAGAGGAUGAUCAGUCAAACUGGAACUGGGACACGGUCCAGACUCCUACGGGAGGCAGCAGUGGGGAAUAUUGGACAAUGGGCGAAAUCCUGAUCCAGCCCUGCCGCGUGUGUGAAGAAGGUCUUCGGAUUGUAAAGCACUUUAAGUUGGGAGGAAGGGCAGUAAGUUAAUACCUUGCUGUUUUGACGUUACCAACAGAAUAAGCACCGGCUAACUUCGUG
rnacentral:rRNA from 1 species